GCGAAAUGUUUGCGCAGAAGAGAGAUCAUUUUCACGUCUUGAUUGCGGUGAUAAUGAAAGAGUUCAUGGCAAGAAUUCACAUUUUCUUCGCAGAUUAUGCACCCUGUUAACGUGUUUGGUAUACAAUUCCGAUACUGCUUAAUGUAUGAACUAUAUGAACUAAACCUUUAAAUGGGAAGAUCUGAUGCAUGGGAUAACGCAACUGAAUGGGCUAUGCAGUCCAACUUUGCCAUAUCUUGGAAUUAAUCGUUCAGACAAAGAAAACAAGCGAAUGGAGGAAAUUAACCUUUUAAUGGCCUCCCAGGAGAUGUGCUGCAGAAGGACUGAAUCUGUCGUGUUGACGCUGUCCUUAUCAUCAUUUGGACCUCACGCACGUGACCUUCACGUGCGAUAACUUGAAAUCCAUUAUUACUAGAUGAUAAGAGCAUAUCUAUUAUUGAAAGGUUUGAUAGAAGAUGUACAAACACCCUUGUUGUCAGUGGUUCAAUGUAUCUGACUGAAAGGCAAAAUAUGACGUCCAUAAAAGGAGCCGUUUGCAUGCGAACGUGUCAGACCACCGUCAGACCACUUGAAUGGUUGAAUAA